UUAUGUUCUUUCAAAUUUACCACUCAGUUUUUCAUUAUCUCACAAAAAAUUAUUUUGUGUAGCACCCUCUGCAACAGAACUCAACUAUCCCUUUAACAAAUUUAUGGGCUAUUGAGAAUACCUCUGAAAAGAAAAACUUCAGGUACCAAUCUCAAGCAAAAACAUCAUGCCAUUAUAACCAAAAUUGCAAUUUGUAGGUGGUGUCUUAUAUUCAUUCAGCAUAUAGGUCUAUAAGGCCUCUGCUUUCAAUUGCAAAGAUAUAUAUAUAUAUAUAUAUAUAUAUAUAUAUAUGUGCAGAUAAUAUCAUAAUAUCAAACUGCUCAAUAUGCUCAAACAUUAUGUAUACAUUUAUCUGCUUCUUCAUUGUUGUUUGUGUCAAGACCGUUACUUCUUGUAACAAAAAAGGGAAAAAAGAAGGAAUUAUUAGUCCUCUGUGUAUGGAUAGUGGUACGUGAUGUAGAAAAUGCUUUUUACAAUAUUUAUUAAACUUCAGAAACCUUGAUUUUGCUGAAAAUUAAUUGAAUUAUUUUGCGCUCACAAUGUGAUGAAAACAAAACCAUUUUUAAAAAUCUUCCUUUUCUAAAUUUCAUUAGUAACAUGCAUUGCAUGCAUACUUGUAUUGCAUGUAUAAAGGUUACAUGUUGGAUAUCUUAACCAUUAUUAUUUUGAUUAGUGGAAACAAUAUGUAUAUGUGUAACCUAAAAUUCCAGUAUAGAAUACUUUAAAAUGUGACUUUUUGUAAUAUCCUCAAAUAUUAAACCAUUGCUUAUAUAAAGUCCUGAAGAAUUUUGCUGAAAAAAUUAUUUAAGAAAUACAGAUGACUAGACAAGUUUGAUUUGUAUUGGAAAUAAAAACUUGUUUGUACAUCUGAAAAUUGUUCAUUCUCCAGUGUA